AUUGAACGCUGGCGGCAGGCCUAACACAUGCAAGUCGAACGGUAACAGGAAGAAGCUUGCUUCUUUGCUGACGAGUGGCGGACGGGUGAGUAAUGUCUGGGAAACUGCCUGAUGGAGGGGGAUAACUACUGGAAACGGUAGCUAAUACCGCAUAACGUCGCAAGACCAAAGAGGGGGACCUUCGGGCCUCUUGCCAUCGGAUGUGCCCAGAUGGGAUUAGCUAGUAGGUGGGGUAACGGCUCACCUAGGCGACGAUCCCUAGCUGGUCUGAGAGGAUGACCAGCCACACUGGAACUGAGACACGGUCCAGACUCCUACGGGAGGCAGCAGUGGGGAAUAUUGCACACUGGGCGCAAGCCUGAUGCAGCCAUGCCGCGUGUAUGAAGAAGGCCUUCGGGUUGUAAAGUACUUUCAGCGGGGAGGAAGGGAGUAAAGUUAAUACCUUUGCUCAUUGACGUUACCCGCAGAAGAAGCACCGGCUAACUCCGUG
rnacentral:rRNA from 1 species